GACGAACGAGGGAGGCGUGCUUAACACAUGCAAGUCGAACGCUGAAGCUUGGUGCUUGCACUGGGUGGAUGAGUGGCGAACGGGUGAGUAAUACGUGAGUAACCUGCCCUUGACUCUGGGAUAAGCCUGGGAAACUGGGUCUAAUACUGGAUAUGACAUGCCACUGCAUGGUGGUGUGUGGAAAGGGUUUUACUGGUUUUGGAUGGGCUCACGGCCUAUCAGCUUGUUGGUGGGGUAAUGGCCUACCAAGGCGACGACGGGUAGCCGGCCUGAGAGGGUGACCGGCCACACUGGGACUGAGACACGGCCCAGACUCCUACGGGAGGCAGCAGUGGGGAAUAUUGCACAAUGGGCGGAAGCCUGAUGCAGCGACGCCGCGUGAGGGAUGACGGCCUUCGGGUUGUAAACCUCUUUCAGCACGGAAGAAGCGAGAGUGACGGUACGUGCAGAAGAAGCGCCGGCUAACUACGUG
rnacentral:rRNA from 1 species